CUACAGAUUUAUUGUAAUCCCCACCAAAAUUCCAAUGACACUUUUCACAGAAAUAGAAAAACAAUCCUAAAAUUUAUAUGGAACCACUAAACACCCCAAAUAGCAAGUAAUCUUGAGCAAAAAACAAAGAUGGAGGCAUCACACUACCUGACUUCAAAAGAUACUACAAAGCUUUAGUAUCAAAACAACAUGGCAUAAAAACAGACACAUAGAUCAAUGGACCAUAAUAGAGUCCUGAAAUAAAUCUGUACAUUUACAGAUAAUUGAUUUUUGACAAAGGUGCCAAGAACAAACUGAUAUGGUUAGGCUUUGUGUCCCCACCCAAAUCUCAACUUGAAUUGUAAUUCCCCUAAUCCCCGUGUGUCAAGGGAGAGAGCAGGUGGAGGUAAUUGAAUCAUGUGGGUAGUUUCCCCCAUACUGUUCUCAUUAUAGUGAGUGAGUUCUCGGGAGAUCUGAUGGUUUUAUAAGGGACUCUUCCUCCUUCACUCAGUAUUCUUCUUCCUGCCGCCUUUGAAGAAGGUGCCUUGCUUCCCCUUUGCCUUCCACCAUAAUUAUAAGUUUCCUGGGGCCUCCCCAGCCAUACUGAACUGUGAGUCAAUUAAACUUCUUUCCUUUAUAAAUUACCCAGUACUGGGCAGUUCUUUAUAGCAGUAUUAAAACGGACUAAUACACAAACAAAGGGGAAAGUACAGUCUCUUCAAUAAAUUGUGCUGGGAAAACUGUGUAUCUAAAUGCAGAAGAACGAAAUUGGACACUUAUCUCAUACCAGAUACAAAAAGCAAUCAACUCAAAAUAGAUUAAAGGCCUCAAUGUAAGGCAUGAAACUGUAAAACUAACAGAGCAGGGGAAAAACUUCAUGAUAUUGGACUAGAUAAUGAUUUAUGCACUAUGACAACAGAAGCAUCGACAAUAAAAGGAAAAAUAGAAAAAUGAGAAUGUGUCAGACUAAAAUAUUUCUGCACAGCAAAGGAAAUAACAGAGUGAAAAUGUAU